GCCUGGCUGUACCCAGUGUGCUGCCAGGCCCCGCUAGAUGCCACCCCCAGUGCAAAGCUGUGGGGUGCUGUCUGCAUUGGUGACUUGCUGCUUCCUUUCCAGGUCACUGUUAUUCAGGCCAGAGUAGCUCUGGGUCAGGUCUGAGAACUGCAGCCUCCCGGGUGGGCUCCUUCCUCUGGCAAGUGUUCACCUCCCCAGUUCGGUUCCUGGGGUGGCUGUUCUCGGGGCUGGCAGGGGCCUGGCGCCGCCUCACCGGCACGGCUUCCCACCUGGACAGAGUCCCCUUCUCCAGGCGCUACCCACGUCUGAAGAGGUCCCUGCUGCUGCUGCUGCUCCUCCUACUCCUCGCUGCAGCUGCCUACGGAGCUUGGUACUUCUACCCCUAUGGGCUGUCAACACUCAGCCUGCCUUCCUUCCCAUGGUGGGGAGCUGGAAAACUUUCCUCCUCCUCUGAUGUUCCUGGGGCAGGGGACCUGACCACGCUGG